CCAGGCAAUAGGUUGAUCCCCUUCUACAAAUAAAGAAAGGCUGUCAAUAACUAGUGACUAAGGUGAAAGCAUAUAGAUGCUUGAAUCCAUAGUUGAAACAGUCAUCUCAAGGCCUACAAAAAUAAAAACAAGAGAAAAGCUUCUUGGAAAAUCAUUUCCAAAUGCUGUUAUGCAUGAAUCAAAACAAAUUUAUUGAAAACAACUUUCUGUGAAUGCUCUUUUUAUUGACUGCAGACUUACUUCGGAACCACUUCUUAAGUGAUGUUCAUUGAGCUCCUAAUUUCCAGUUUUCUUGGGAAAACAAAUUGCAGUUUAGCUUAACAGAAGAGCAACCAUCCAUCAAAUCAACACUAUUAAGAAUACCAUCCCUAAUCAAAGUCACCAAAAUCAGGCUGCAUCAGUCUCACUGGUCUAAUUCCAACUCCGCAAUGACGCAACUUAAUUCAUUUAAAAUGUGUACCUCACUGAAUAUACCCACAACCUCGUCAAGAAAAGGACCAAUUUUUCUUGCCUCCCUCUUAGGAACAGUUCUCACAAAAAGAGUUGAGAAAAAAGAAAUUGAAGGGCAGAGGGUAUAUGCAAUAACCUCCACAAAGAAAUUCAAAUUUUUGUCCAUUUAAUCCUAGGGAAUUCCCCGCAUAUGAGGCUCCUCCUGCAAGGUUCACCCUGUUCCUUUGGAGCGGUAAUAUUGGUUCUCAAUGUGCCUAAUUCUAGCUCUGUUUUGUAUCUUAUUGAAAAUGGCAUUAACAAAUACACGCAAGACAUAUUAUAUGAGAACACUGCCUAUACGAUUAACAAUGGAGCAAGAUCAUGAGAAACAACAUUCUACUCGAACAUUUAAGAAAUAAAUUAGAGAAAAUGAGUCCCAC
rnacentral:misc_RNA from 1 species